rnacentral:rRNA from 1 species
AACGUAGGAGACGAACGUUAUCCGGAGUUACUGGGCGUAAAGGGCGUGCAGGCGGCUUGAUUAAGUUCGGCGUGAAAUUUCCCCGGCUUAACCGGGGGAUGUCGUCGGAGACUGUCGAGCUAGAGGGUGAUAGAGGCGUGUGGAAGUUCCGGGUGUAGUGGUGAAAUGCGUAGAGGAUCCGGAGGAACACCAGUGGCGAAGGCGACACGCUGGGUCAUACUGACGCUAAACGCGACAGCAUGGGAGCGGAACGGG